UGGGGAAUAUUGGACAAUGGGCGAAAGCCUGAUCCAGCCAUGCCGCGUGUGUGAAGAAGGUCUUCGGAUUGUAAAGCACUUUAAGUUGGGAGGAAGGGCAGUAAGCGAAUACCUUGCUGUUUUGACGUUACCGACAGAAUAAGCACCGGCUAACUCUGUGCCAGCAGCCGCGGUAAUACAGAGGGUGCAAGCGUUAAUCGGAAUUACUGGGCGUAAAGCGCGCGUAGGUGGUUCGUUAAGUUGAAUGUGAAAGCCCCGGGCUCAACCUGGGAACUGCAUCCAAAACUGGCGGGCUAGAGUAGGGCAGAGGGUGGUGGAAUGUCCUGUGUAGCGGUGAAAUGCGUAGAUAUAGGAAGGAACACCAGUGGCGAAGGCGACCACCUGGGCUCAUACUGACACUGAGGUGCGAAAGAGUGGGGAGCAAACAGG
rnacentral:rRNA from 1 species